rnacentral:rRNA from 1 species
UGGGGAAUAUUGGACAAUGGGCGAAAGCCUGAUCCAGCCAUGCCGCGUGUGUGAAGAAGGUCUUCGGAUUGUAAAGCACUUUAAGUUGGGAGGAAGGGCAGUAAGCGAAUACCUUGCUGUUUUGACGUUACCGACAGAAUAAGCACCGGCUAACUCUGUGCCAGCAGCCGCGGUAAUACAGAGGGUGCAAGCGUUAAUCGGAAUUACUGGGCGUAAAGCGCGCGUAGGUGGUUCGUUAAGUUGAAUGUGAAAGCCCCGGGCUCAACCUGGGAACUGCAUCCAAAACUGACGAGCUAGAGUAGGGCAGAGGGUGGUGGAAUUUCCUGUGUAGCGGUGAAAUGCGUAGAUAUAGGAAGGAACACCAGUGGCGAAGGCGACCACCUGGGCUAAUACUGACACUGAGGUGCGAAAGCGUGGGGAGCAAACAGG